AUUGAACGCUGGCGGCAUGCUUUACACAUGCAAGUCGAACGGCAGCGGGGGCUUCGGCCUGCCGGCGAGUGGCGAACGGGUGAGUAAUGCAUCGGAACGUGCCCAUGUCGUGGGGGAUAACGUAUCGAAAGGUACGCUAAUACCGCAUACGUCCUGAGGGAGAAAGCGGGGGAUCUUCGGACCUCGCGCGCUUGGAGCGGCCGAUGUCGGAUUAGCUCGUAGGUGAGGUAAAGGCUCACCUAGGCGACGAUCCGUGGCGGGUCUGAGAGGAUGAUCCGCCACACUGGGACUGAGACACGGCCCAGACUCCUACGGGAGGCAGCAGUGGGGAAUUUUGGACAAUGGGCGCAAGCCUGAUCCAGCCAUGCCGCGUGAGUGAAGAAGGCUUAGGGUUGUAAAGCUCUUUCGGCCGGGAAGAAAUCGUGUUCUCUAACAUAGGACAUGGAUGACGGUACCGGACUAAGAAGCACCGGCUAACUACGUGCCAGCCGCCGCCGAACAC
rnacentral:rRNA from 1 species